rnacentral:rRNA from 1 species
UACGAAGGGGGCUAGCGUUGCUCGGAUUGACUGGGCGUAAAGGGCGCGUAGGCGGUUCGUACAGUCAGACGUGAAAUUCCUGGGCUCAACCUGGGGGCUGCGUUUGAUACGUGCGGACUUGAGUGCGGAAGAGGGUCGUGGAAUUCCCAGUGUAGAGGUGAAAUUCGUAGAUAUUGGGAAGAACACCGGUGGCGAAGGCGGCGACCUGGUCCGAUACUGACGCUGAGGCGCGAAAGCGCGGGGAGCAAACAGG